rnacentral:rRNA from 1 species
CCUACGGGAGGCAGCAGUGAGGAAUAUUGGUCAAUGGACGCGAGUCUGAACCAGCCAUGCAGCGUGAAGGAUGACUGCUCUAUGGGUUGUAAACUGCUUUUGUACAAGGGUAAACUGAGAUACGUGUAUCUUUCUGUAAGUAUUUUAUGAAUAAGGAUCGGCUAACUCCGUGCCAGCAGCCGCGGUAAUACGGAGGAUUCAAGCGUUAUCCGGAUUUAUUGGGUUUAAAGGGUGCGUAGGUGGGUGGUUAAGUUAGUGGUGAAAUCUUGCGGCUCAACCUCAGAAUUGCAUUUGAUACUGUUCGGCUAGAGAGUAGUUGAGGUAGGCGGAAUUUAUGGUGUAGCGGUGAAAUGCUUAGAGAUCACACAGAACACCGAUUGCGAAGGCAGCUUACCAAGCUACUUCUGACAUUGAUGCACGAAAGUGUGGGGAGCAAACAGGAUUAGAUACCCUAGUAGUC